rnacentral:rRNA from 2 species
GGAUCCAGACUUUGAUUCUGGCUCAGGAUGAACGCUAGCUACAGGCUUAACACAUGCAAGUCGAGGGGAAACGAUAGAGAAAGCUUGCUUUUUCUAGGCGUCGACCGGCGCACGGGUGAGUAACGCGUAUCCAACCUGCCCAUCACUUGGGGAUAACCUUGCGAAAGUAAGACUAAUACCCAAUGACGUCUCUAGAAGACAUCUGAAGGAGAUUAAAGAUUUAUCGGUGAUGGAUGGGGAUGCGUCUGAUUAGCUUGUUGGCGGGGUAACGGCCCACCAAGGCGACGAUCAGUAGGGGUUCUGAGAGGGAGGUCCCCCACAUUGGAACUGAGACACGGUCUAAACUCCUACGGGAGGCAGCAGUGAGGAAUAUUGGUCAAUGGACGAGAGUCUGAACCAGCCAAGUAGCGUGCAGGAAGACGGCCCUAUGGGUUGUAAACUGCUUUUAUAAGGGAAUAAAGUGAGUCUCGUGAGACUUUUUGCAUGUACCUUAUGAAUAAGGACCGGCUAAUUCCGUGCCAGCAGCCGCGGUAAUACGGAAGGUCCGGGCGUUAUCCGGAUUUAUUGGGUUUAAAGGGAGCGUAGGCCGGAGAUUAAGCGUGUUGUGAAAUGUAGACGCUCAACGUCUGCACUGCAGCGCGAGCUGGUUUCCUUGAGUACGCACAAAGUGGGCGGAAUUCGUGGCGUAGCGGUGAAAUGCUUAGAUAUCACGAAGAACUCCGAUUGCGAAGGCAGCUCACUGGAGCGCAACUGACGCUGAAGCUCGAAAGUGCGGGUAUCGAACAGGAUUAGAUACCCUGGUAGUCCGCACGGUAAACGAUGGAUGCCCGCUGUUGGUCUGAAUAGGUCAGCGGCCAAGCGAAAGCAUUAAGCAUCCCACCUGGGGAGUACGCCGGCAACGGUGCAACUCAAAUGAAUUGACGG